ensembl:snoRNA
GCAUGGGUGAAUUCUGCACUAGCUUUCCUCAGUAGCUGAUGCAGUCAGACACCAUGCCAGAGCAAAUUCCUUUUUUUCCACUGUGCCUGGUGUGCUUUUUUUAUGGGAAUGGGCAUGCCCUUGGAAGGGGAAUACAUAA